CAUUCUUUCACGACGAGCAAUGUGUAUAGGCUGGUUUAGUGGAUUACUGUAGCUGUAAGUUUGAUUUUCACAUCUUCACCAUAUAUGGUCUGCAAGUAUCUAGCUAAGUAAUGGACGAGCCACCGCCAGUCAAGAAUGUAGUGUAAGUAGCCCAAAGGUUCAUGGUAACAAUCUCAAUACAACAGCUUGGCAUUUUCCCCCUUCAGUUUAGGUGUUUUGAAUCAUCUAGAUAUAGCUAAAGUUUGUUCAAUAUUGGUUUGUGAUAUGUAUGAUCAUGGCAGGGAAGUGAUAAACAUGAACGAACAGGCAGGGAGGGAGAGAACGUGGUCACAAACCAACAGUUUAAUCAUUGAUUAGUGCCACACCAAGAUAGACUGUUGAUCUGUCAUCAGGUAAAUGUCAUUGAAUAGGAUCUCUGAUAAAAGGACAGCAUCCGAAUUUAAGGGUGUAAUAUUUGCUAUCUUGAAAUGUAUACAUUAGCUGUGUUUUUAUGGAAAUAUAUUGAACUGAUGCAUUCUUAAUGAUUAAUGUAUUGAGUCCCCGUGUUUAGAUAAGACAAAUAAUGUCGGUUGUGCUCUGGUAAAGGAAGUAUGAGGUGCUGAGGUAAACGUAAACCUAUUGCAGGAUGGGGGCAGAUGGAGAAAAAUGGGUCUUAGGAUAGAGGAAUAUUUGGUUAAUUUACAGUAUUUCUGAGGUCUAGAUUUGAGAUAAAAUCAGAGCUAAUGGGUGGAGGCGAGUUUCCGAGAAGGGUCCAGCUGCUGCCGCACACGCCCGUGACGGAGGUUGACUCUUCCAAAUAUGGAUCGUUAUAGAAGAGACUUCGCACAAAACGUGAGGACGUUUAUCUCGGCUGCUCGGUGGGUGUUGAUGCUGAAAAAGAAAAGAUGGCGCAAGGAGCUCGGGUGAGAAUGCCACAAUAUGGUUAAUGAACACUUAUUGUUUUAUGUAUAUUUAUUAUUAGGUUGUUGUAUGUAUUAACGAUUUGGCUGUUUCGCGCACUGUAAAUAGUGUUAAUUUUGUAGAUUAUUUUUCAUUUUAAUCAAUUAGGCUUGCUACCGGUAAUCCCGUGCUUUAGGUCACAAUCUAGCCUUAGCGUUAUCAUAAGAAGUAAGGCUAACGUCAAGAUACGUCAAGUAUAAACUGUUUUUUUUAUAACGCCAGACUAUAUAGUUCUAUUGGAAACCAUGUGGCUUUAUUCACCAACAUACAUUAACACGGAUAAAACACCUAAAUUAAUCGUGACAGAAAACCCUCCAUAGUAUGUGACCUCUGAUUCGGCCUGCUGCCGCCCCUGUCCCUAUUUCUUUCUGAUAUUCAGUUCCACCAUUUCAUUAUUAGUUGAGUGUUAUUUUUGGUAUUGCAGUAGCUUUUAUAUUAGGGACCAGGAGAAUAGGUAAACUGUUGCAGAGUCCUGUAAGGACUUUGUGGCGCACCACUAGCUCAAUGUAUGGACACGAAUUGGGAAUAACCAUGUGAUGUGAAACCUCCUGCAACCUCUCCCUUUGAACUGAUACCCUUAUUUAGGGCCUGACUAACUCUGUGUGUAUGCGUGUGUAUGCGUGUGUAUGCGUGUGUCUGUGUGUGUCUGUGUAUGUCUGUGUGUGGCUGUGUCUGCAGUACUGUCAUCUACAUAUUCAAAUCCAGAUUAUAAAGCAGAGGAACCAAAGGUUGUUCUUAAUACUCUGUAUAGUUCUAAGAAUUGAUACGGUUUGCUUAGUUUAGUUUGAUAUUUAACUUAGCUAAAUGAUUUAUACCUGUGUGACAUAUUGCAACCCAUCCCUGUACCCAUCCCGUGUAUCAAGAUGUCUUUGAUUGUCUCUGUCUCUUCUAUACCUGCAUGUACUCAUCAUCCUUAUAUGAGGUAAGAAUAAGGCUAAAUAAUGUAUCACACCUUUAUUACUUCAGACAGAAAUAUGCAGUUUUUCCUGUGCUACAUGAGCAUGUGAGGUACCCCAUCGUACAAUUUGGAAGAAUAAAGUGCAUUUGCCCAAUAAACAUAAAAAUAUGGACUGAGGGGAUUAUGGACCGAAGUGUAUUAUGGGUUAUCCCAUUUGGGGUACAAUUGGGCAGUAAAACAUGUACAUUUGCCCAGCAAACCUCCAAAUUUGGACUCUGUGGAGUUUGGAUGGAAGUGUAUUAUGGAUAAUCCCAUUGGUCGUGCAAUUGGGCAGUAAAACAUGUACAUUUGACUAGCAAACAUCAAAAUUCUGACUCUGUUGGGUUUGGACCGAAGGUGCCAUUGGGUGUAUACAUUUGUGGUAAAACUGAACAUUUGCUGUGUAAAGCACAGUCACCUGCCCAGGACUUGCUGCCUGACUGGAAAACCGCUGACUGCAGAGCGGUGGAGCUCGGGGAGCCCCUAGAGCAUUUUCUGUGAAUUGCAGUUUGGCAGGAGGUCUGUACGGGAAGCCAGUAAUACUGGGCAUUUGGUGACAAAUUGGGAAGUAAAACCCUUUGAGUGAGUAUUGCGUCAAUGUACAAUGUUGGCCCAUUCAUUUUAUCCAAAAACUAGUAUUUUCCCUUCUCUUUCCAUACCUCUGUGAGUCAGCAUUCUCAACUUUGACUGCAAUGUAGACUAAGCACAGAGCUCGUUUGCAUGUGGAGAACAAUCUGAGUCUGCCAGUCAUCCAUCCCUCCAAGAGUGGAUGAACUGUGUGGUGAGAGAAUGGCAGAGCCAUCUCAUUAAGAAUGAAAUCAUUAAGUGAGUUACUGUGAACUGUGUGAGAUAAGAAUGUGACGUAUAGCCCUAAUGUACAAACUCUUCUAAAGUAAUAGGUUUAAUUACUAUGAUGUGUUCUGUAACACUGUUGAUAACUUAUUUUAUGAUUUGUUCAGAGCUUUUAGAAUUCAAAUAUUUCCAAUGGCAUCUAAGACUAAACAUUUUAGUAAGCACAUGCUUAAUCGGUAUUAAAAUCAUUAGGGGGUCCUUGAAAAAUGUUGUCCCCUGUAAGGGGUCCCUGGUCCAAAAAAGUUUGAGAACCCCUGAUGUAAUAAGUGCAACAAGUCUUUUAGAUUCCUUAUUUAAGCAGGAGUCUCCUACAACACAAUCGACCACUCAUCCUUGAGAUCCUUUCCACACAACAUUCCGUGUUUCGACAGUUACCCAAUUUGCUAACAUGGGUUGGAUCAAACAGCCGUAGUUGUGAAAUGUUGUGGCUCCGCCCCCUCUAGACUCUCAGAUCUAGAAUCUUGUCCUUCUGUCAGUGACCGAGCUGGGUAAGUGAUCUAAUCCCAAGUCUGGCGUGUAAAAACCGUUACAUUACUGCCUGCGAGGCAUCGAGAGGUGCGUAGCUGGCUCAACCCUUACACCGUAUACUACAGUGCGUUUAGUGUUGUGUAAAGACUGGUUGAAUUAUAACGCAAUAGCCUACUUUAUAGUUCCACUGGAAACCGAGUGGCUUUAUUAAUCGAUAUAAAGCAAGAUGGGGGAUAAAACACCGACAUUCAUCGUGACAGAAAACCCUCCGUGGUAUGUGACCUCUGAUUCCAAAUGUUUAUAGCUGUGAAAGCGAACAAGGACUGUUUGAUAACGUCGUCAACUUGUUGUGCAAACAAGAGGGACUAUCUGAAAGAGAGAAAAGCGGAAAAACAUCUAAAAGACUAUCAGGAGCCUUCGCGUUCGUUGUUGCUUGCGCUGAUGGACUAAUUGGACAUUGAAGGUGGAGACGACUUUGAGUCUAUGGCGAGUGUGGACAAGGCUGGUCUCAAACAUAUUCCAGUGGUUACGCAGGACUCUGAAAAACAACCUCGUCUAUUACGACAGCAGCAGGUCCACGAUCGGAACAUAUAGCAAGCCGUUUUAACAUGUAUUCGCUAGACUGGAUAUUUCUUACACAUGAAUGCAACAUAAUUUCGCCAAGUCAGAACUGCAAGAUAUCUAUAACGUCAUUAUGACUAGUCAAAACGACAAUUGAAGAUAUCUGUAAUUCUGUUUUGACUAGUCAGUUUUAAAUUACUAUUGCCAUUCAUGUCUAUGAGGUUUCUCAUUACAGAUAUCUUUAAAUGAAGUUGCAGAUAUCCGAAAUGUCUAUUGUUGAUAUAUUCAAACCAAUUAUGACUAUAGUAAUUACAGUUCCAGAUAUCUAUAAUUUAAUUCUGACCAGUCACGAUUCCAGUUCAAGAUAUCUUAAAUCCCCCUAAAUUUAAGAUAUAUAGAUCAUUAUUUUGCAAUAUCUUAAAUAAUGUUGUAAUUAGUCAUAAAUCAGUUGUAAAUAUCUUGAACUGGAAUUCUAACUAGUAUUAAUUAAAUUGAAGAUAUCUGAAACUGGAAUUACAGCCAGUCAUAAUGUAAUUGUAGAAAUCUAUUAUCAAGUUAUAGAUAUCUUUGAAUAUUUUUCAAAUUGGAGAUAUAUUUUACUUUCAUUCUGCCAAGUCAAAAUGUAAUUACAGAUAUCUGUAGUUACAUGUAGGAGUCAGGAGCGGGAGUAAGUGGCUUGCUUGUAUUCAAACAUAUGUAACUACUCUUCCACCGUAUGGCAAGCAUUAACCGCCAUGUCAGACCUGCGUGAAGCCGAAGUUCUAGUUUUUGAUAAAAUAUUUAUGGUUGCAGCCAGUGCACGACAGGCGCUUUUAGCAGGAAAUACAGGAGAUUUACUUUCUUUCAAAAGUCGAUAAAAAAAAAAUUUUUUUUACUAUCCACAACUGAAACUGCCAUUGCUGCUAACACCGAAAAGCGUUGCUGGGCCAAUAUGAUCUGAUGCCUCGCAUGAGAAACGUCAUGCAAAACAAUUCGAAAUAGUCAUAAGGACAUUUGAGAUAUCUACAACUAUAAUUUUGACUAGUCCAAACAAAAUUCUGCAAUUACCAUUUGGGAUGUAUGAAAGUCGAGUGUCGUUUUCAGUGAGGUCACUUCUGAUAUUUGUAAUUCAGUUUUGACUAGUCAAAAUAAAAUUACAGACAUCUUUAACUGUGUUUUGACUAGUCAGAAGAACGUUACGUAUAUCUUGAAUCAAAAUUUAGACUAGUCACAAUGUAAUUACGUCUAGUCAGUAUUACGGUGUUAAUAUCUGUCAUGUUAAUUUCAUAUAGUCAAGUCUAGCGAAUACAUUUUAAAAUGGCUUGCUAUUGGAACAAACACUUGUUAUCCCGACAACCGGAAAGAUUGAGCUGUGGGUGGAUAAAUGAGCCGUGUUUGGAUUGAUGAGCCGUGUGUGGAUAGAUGAGCCGUGUGUGGGUAGAUGAGCCAUGUGUGGGUAGAUGAGCCGUGUGUGGGUAGAUGAGCCGUGUGUGGGUAGAUGAGCCGUGUGUGGGUAUAUGAGCCGUGGUUGGACAUCCAACCAGUGUUGAGUUUACUGUUCAACGUUCUCUUAUCCAACCAAUGGUAAAUUAUCUAAUUCCAAGUCUGUCUUAUAAAAGCCCUUACACCAGCCACAUCGACGUUACAUCAUGCGAGGCUUCGAGAGGUGAGCGACUGCCUCAACCCAUAAACCGUAGACCACAGUGCAAGAGGGACUAUUUGAAACAUCUACAAGACAAUCAGUAGUAUGGGAAUCCGGGACGCUGACAUUAUAGAGCAAAACCCUUCAUGUUCGUUGUUGUUAGCGCUGAACCUAGAGCACAUUAAAGGUAGAAACAAACACGUUCUAGCCUAUCCAGUUGCUGAGCACCGAGGACAAAACCUCGUCUACUGAGAACAACAGUCACGCGCUGGUCUCCGAUGUAAAGGAUACACCCCAUGUGCUAGGCACGGCUUCGGCCGACAUUUUGAAUAAAAAACGUAAGGCCAGCGUGGAUUGUUUCACCGGAAACCAAAAUUACAUAUAGAGAAAACCCCUCGAAAAGAAGUCAAAGGACAAAAAAAGAUUAGAUUGAAACAGAUGAUGAAACUGUUAACUCUGUGAUGUAGGGAUAUUUUCAUGAAAUGUUAUUUCACAUUAACCUGAUGAGUAGACGAAACAUCUCAUGUGAUCACUUGUAUAUUCAUUGAGAGUUAAUUGAUGAAACAUUAAACCAGGGCUCAUAUUAUUAUCCCAAACAGUCUGUUUGUCUUUGAUUUUUCCACAUUUAAUUGUUAAGAGACCGAUGAACUACACUCUUGCUCUGGCUCCACUACCCAUGGUCAGUUCAAUGAGUGUUUGUUAUCUCAUAUUAAGGACAGAAGGACCUGUGGCUUGUCCUUGACUCUCUUGGGAAAAUGAGUGAGCUCAUAGAUCAAAGAAUCCUUGACUUAGGGAAUAUGCUGAGUAAUGAUGAGUAGUGGCUUGGUGAGCGAAUCCCAGAUUGUUGUGAAACAUUGAUGGAAGAAACAGAAAUGAGCUUAAUGAGGGGUCUGCAGAGCAAGGCAAAGUUAAUGUUUGAUUAAGUAACAACUGAAACAAGAUUGGGGUUCAAUGGAGUUAGCUAAUUCAAUACUCUCUGCUGUCGUUUGGAUUCUAACUUUGUGUUGUGCGAGAUUCCAUCUUUGUUUCUCACAAUUUAGGAGUCCUGAAUCACUGAUACACAUAAAACAGAGAGUCCAAGGAGAGGUGGGUGACAGACCCUCCCACAUACAUCAGAGAGUCCAAGGAGAGGUGAGUGACAGACUGUGACAUACAUCAGAGAGUGCAAGGAGAGACUGCCUUGGGUUCAGAGUAAGAUUAUUGGACACUGCUGGUUCCUGAUUCACCACAGCCAAGUAGAGGUGGUUGACAGACUAUUUCACAUACAACAGGGUGUAUAAGUAGACUUGGGUAACAGACUCUGCCACAUAAAACAGAGAGUCCAAGGAGUGGUGGGUGACAGACCCUCCUACAUACAACAGAGAGUCCAAGGAGGGAUGGGUGACAGACCCUCCCACAUACAACAGAGUCCAAGGAGGGAUGGGUGACAGACCCUCCCACAUACAACAGAGAGUCCAAGGAGGGAUGGGUGACAGACCCUCCUACAUACAACAGAGAGUCCAAGGAGGGAUGGGUGACAGACCCUCCCACAUACAACAGAGAGUCCAAGGAGGGAUGGGUGACAGACCCUCCCACAUACAACAGAGUCCAAGGAGGGAUGGGUGACAGACCCUCCCACAUACAACAGAGAGUCCAAGGAGGGAUGGGUGACAGACCCUCCCACAUACAACAGAGAGUCCAAGGAGGGAUGGGUGACAGACCCUCUUACAUAUAACAGAGAGUCCAAGGAGGGAUGGGUGACGGACCCUCCCACAUACAACAGAGAGUCCAAGGAGGGAUGGGUGACAGACCCUCCCACAUACAACAGAGUGUCUUAGGGGAGGUGGGUGACAGACCCUCCUACAUACAACAGAGAGUCCAAGGAGGGAUGGGUGACAGACCCUCCCACAUACAACAGAGUCCAAGGAGGGAUGGGUGACAGACCCUCCCACAUACAACAGAGUCCAAGGAGGGAUGGGUGACAGACCCUCCCACAUACAACAGAGAGUCCAAGGAGGGAUGGGUGACAGACCCUCCCACAUACAACAGAGUGUUUUAGGGGAGGUGGGUGACAGACCCUGCCACAUACAACAGAGUGUCCAAGGAGGUAUGGGUGACGGACUCACAUACAUCAGAGUCCAAGGAGGGAUGGGUGACAGACCCUCCCACAUACAACAGAGUGUCUUAGGGGAGAUGGGUGACAGACCCUCCCACAUACAACAGAGAGUCCAAGGAGGGAUGGGUGACAGACCCUGCCACAUACAACAGAGUGUUUUAGGGGAGGUGGGUGACAGACCCUGCCACAUAUAAAAGAGAGUGGCUUUAUUCAUCAAUAUACAACAACAUGGAGGAUACAACAUGGAAAUUCAUUGUGACAUUAAACCCUCUGCCCUAGUCCCUGCCACCGCCCUUCUUGUUGCUCCACAGCCAGCCCCUGCUCCGCGUACUGCCGCGGCGCGAGACCCUGCUCCGCGUAACGCCGCCGCGCGGUAUCCAAGUGGCUUUAUUCAUCAAUAUACAACAACUUGGAGGAUACAACACUGAAAUCUUUCUGACAGAUCAAAGAAUCCUUGACUUAGAGAAUAUGCUGAGUAAUGAUGAGUAGUGGCUUGGGGAGCGAAUCCCAGGUUGUUGUGAAACAUUGAUGGAAGAGACAGAAAUGAGCUUAAUGAGAGGUCUGCAGAGCAAGGCAAAGUUAAAAAAAGUAAACAAGGGAGAGAGGAAGACAUAUAUGUUUGAUUAAGAAACAACUGAAACAAGAUUGGGGUUCAAUGGAGUUAGCUAAUACAAUACUCUCUGCUGUAGUUUGGAUUCUAACUUUGUGUUGUGCGAGAUUCCAUCUUUCUCACAUUUUAGGAGUCCUGAAUCACUAGGAGGGAUGGGUGACAGACCCUCCCAUAUACUUCAGAGAGUCCAAGGAGAGCGUCACAGUGCAUUUCCCUGUUGAUGCCGAGCGUCAAUUGACUUCAAUGGGGCUUCUUAAAACUCGCCCACGGACUCUCAUCGUCUCUGGGGGUGAAUUAUGAGUGGGCUGGCCCUGAUUCCAGGCUUCCGCAUGAUUGGAGGAUCUGACGAUCUGUCAAACUGCAUUCCUUUUGACUGACAGCGGUCUACUAUAAGGUGUCACUGAAGCUGUUUAGCGCUCAGUCCCACCGCGGAUUUCUCAAGCGUAUUCGAAAGACGUCUGCAAUAUUUAUUCAUAUUUGUUUGGCGAAAUUGCUAGCUGAUUUGCAUCAUACAUUUCACACAAUUAUCUGCUGCACCACGUGAUCCUUGUUUCAGUUUUACAAAGUUUUUUUUUUUUAUCAGUCAUUCAUAUUCAAUAGUAGGCUAGGCUAGCGUUGUACGCGGGUGAAACUGCGCACGAUGGCAGACAGUGCUAAUAUUGUCCUGAUUUUAGCGAGGCCAUUUGGAAGUCUUCCUUACGAGGAACAUUUUUUAAUUAAACAGCAGGUAAGAUCAACUCCUAAGAUUGAUCUUUUCAGCUCUCCUGGUAUGACAAAGUUAUUUGGCUGACUGGAAGUGCUGUGACAAAUAAAAUGUACUGCUGGCCAAAAAUAAAUUGGUAACCCUACGACACAUUGAAAAUGUGUACACACACACACGUAGUGUUAUCACGUUUUGGGGGGACUUUCCAUAGACACAAUGAUUUUUGUACUGUACAAACUGUAUAUUCCUAUCUCUUACACUGACCCUACCCAUCACAGAAAACCUGCAUUUUUACAUUUUCUAAUAACAUCACUUAGUAUGAUUUUUAAGCUGUUUUCCUCAUGGGGACUCAAACAUUUCCCCACACGAAGAAGGAUUUCAGAUAUUGCCAUCCUUGUGGGAACAUAUUGUCCCCAUAUUGUAGGGUUUACCAGGCCACACACAUACACACACUGGCUCUAUAGCCAUCUAGUGGUUAAACAGAAUUUUAAACAGAAUUUCCCCCAAAGAAUUGCUAAAAUCUUACUUUAAACCUUAUAAAAUUAUCCAUGGUAUCCCUAGGAAUGAAAGUUAGAAAUCUGGGUCUUUUAUAAAGUGAAUUCUACGUAAAAUGCAGAUUUUCUUGUAAAAAG
ensembl:lncRNA